GGAGGGGUUCCCGAGUGGCCAAAGGAGCAGACUGUAAAUCUGCCGGCUCCGCCUUCGGAUGGUUCGAAAUCCGUCCCUCCA
rnacentral:tRNA from 1 species